GAUGAAGAACGUAGCGAAAUGCGAUAAGUAAUGUGAAUUGCAGAAUUCAGUGAAUCAUCGAAUCUUUGAACGCACCUUGCGCUCCUUGGUAUUCCGAGGAGCAUGCCUGUUUGAGUGUCAUGAAAUUCUCAACCUUUUCAGCUUUCUUUGUUGAUCAGGCUUGGAUGUGGGAGUAUGCGGGCUUCUCAGAAGUCGGCUCUCCUGAAAUGCAUUAGCGGACAACAUUUUGCCAACCGUUUAUUGGUGUGAUAAUUAUCUACGCUAUUGACGUGAAGCAAGGUUCAGCUUCUAACAGUCCAUUGACUUGGACAAGUCUCUUUUUAUUAAUGUGACCUCAAAUCAGGUAGGACUACCCGCUGAACUUAAGCAUAUCAAUAAGCGGAGGA
rnacentral:misc_RNA from 1 species